UGGGGUAUAGCCAAGCGGUAAGGCAACGGACUUUGACUCCGUUAUCCGUAGGUUCGAGUCCUGCUACCCCAGCCA
rnacentral:tRNA from 1 species